rnacentral:rRNA from 2 species
ACUUAAAUUGAAGAGUUUGAUCAUGGCUCAGAUUGAACGCUGGCGGCAGGCCUAACACAUGCAAGUCGAGCGGUAGCACAGAGAGCUUGCUCUCGGGUGACGAGCGGCGGACGGGUGAGUAAUGUCUGGGAAACUGCCUGAUGGAGGGGGAUAACUACUGGAAACGGUAGCUAAUACCGCAUAACGUCGCAAGACCAAAGUGGGGGACCUUCGGGCCUCAUGCCAUCAGAUGUGCCCAGAUG